UCUGGCUCAGGAUGAACGCUAGCUACAGGCUUAACACAUGCAAGUCGAGGGGAAACGAUAUUGGAAGCUUGCUUCCGAUAGGCGUCGACCGGCGCACGGGUGAGUAACGCGUAUCCAACCUGCCCACCACUUGGGGAUAACCUUGCGAAAGUAAGACUAAUACCCAAUGAUAUCUCUAGAAGGCAUCUGAAAGAGAUUAAAGAUUUAUCGGUGAUGGAUGGGGAUGCGUCUGAUUAGCUUGUUGGCGGGGUAACGGCCCACCAAGGCGACGAUCAGUAGGGGUUCUGAGAGGAAGGUCCCCCACAUUGGAACUGAGACACGGUCCAAACUCCUACGGGAGGCAGCAGUGAGGAAUAUUGGUCAAUGGGCGAGAGCCUGAACCAGCCAAGUAGCGUGCAGGAUGACGGCCCUAUGGGUUGUAAACUGCUUUUAUAAGGGAAUAAAGUGAGUCUCGUGAGACUUUUUGCAUGUACCUUAUGAAUAAGGACCGGCUAAUUCCGUGCCAGCAGCCGCGGUAAUACGGAAGGUCCGGGCGUUAUCCGGAUUUAUUGGGUUUAAAGGGAGCGUAGGCCGGAGAUUAAGCGUGUUGUGAAAUGUAGACGCUCAACGUCUGCACUGCAGCGCGAACUGGUUUCCUUGAGUACGCACAAAGUGGGCGGAAUUCGUGGUGUAGCGGUGAAAUGCUUAGAUAUCACGAAGAACUCCGAUUGCGAAGGCAGCUCACUGGAGCGCAACUGACGCUGAAGCUCGAAAGUGCGGGUAUCGAACAGGAUUAGAUACCCUGGUAGUCCGCACGGUAAACGAUGGAUGCCCGCUGUUGGUCUGAAUAGGUCAGCGGCCAAGCGAAAGCAUUAAGCAUCCCACCUGGGGAGUACGCCGGCAACGGUGCAACUCAAAGGAAUUGACGG
rnacentral:rRNA from 1 species